rnacentral:siRNA from 1 species
GAUCACAUCUUGAUUGUUAGCAUC